UCACUAUUUUCUCUCUUUUUUUUUUUCCUGAAAUAUUAUUCUUCAUUUUUUCACAGAUUUAAAUUUUCAAAAAUAAUUGCUUCCCAAAUUAUGUUUUUGUUUGAUUGAUUACAUGUUAAUAAGGAGAAGAAGAAGGAGAAAAGAACAUGGAGGUGGUUCGGCUAGUCGAGUUGGAGAGAGUCGAUCCGAAGCUCGUCACUGUGGAGAGAGUCUUACCAGGUCAUGUGAAGCUCGUGACGGUGGCUAUUUUGAUCAGACGAGGAGCUUGAGGCGAACAAUUCGGCCGGAGAGUCAUCAUAUAAUGUACUGGAGAUGAUGCGGUGGGUUUGGCCGAUGAGUAAGCCAUCGACAUCACCGGAAACAUCAUCAGGCUACGGUUCUCUUUCCCGGCGUCGUGACCUUGUGUCUGGCCAUCGCGGAUCCGUCGCGAGCAACUCAAGAACAUCAAUGGCUAAUUUUGACUUUUUUGCACGUUCGGUCCUUUAUAUUUUGUAUAGUUUCGAAUCUGACUCAUAGCUAUUUAAAUAUACAAAUAUAUUAUCUAAUUAGACUAAUUAACAUCUAACUUCUUGAUUGUUCAUCCCAACUCCUCCUAAUUGCAUAAAUGGCUCUUCAUAUUUUAUUUAUGC
rnacentral:lncRNA from 1 species